UACGAAGGGGGCUAGCGUUGUUCGGAAUUACUGGGCGUAAAGCGUGCGCAGGCGGCUUCUCAAGUCAGGGGUGAAAGCCCAGAGCUCAACUCUGGAAUUGCCUUUGAGACUGAGUGGCUUGAGUACGAGAGAGGUGAGUGGAAUUCCCAGUGUAGAGGUGAAAUUCGUAGAUAUUGGGAAGAACACCAGUGGCGAAGGCGGCUCACUGGCCCGAUACUGACACUGAGGCACGAAAGCGUGGGGAGCAAACAGG
rnacentral:rRNA from 1 species